GCCCGGAUGGCGGAACUGGUAGACGCGCUGCGUUCAGGGCGCAGUGGCUGUAAAGCCGUGCAGGUUCGAUUCCUGUUCCGGGCACUA
rnacentral:tRNA from 1 species